rnacentral:lncRNA from 1 species
AUUUAGCCUGGAUAAGCUUCCUGUUACAUGGCUUAUAGGAGCAUUCCUAAUAUAUUGCUCGAGAGAGUGCUUCCUGAUUAUGUACUCUAAUAAGUACCUCUGAUUAUGAAUUGACAGAUUUCUGAUUUGUACACUUCGAGUGUACUACCUGCGUAUCCAUCGAUAUUUCAAAUAAAUUCAAUGGGCAAAAUUCUAACAUGAAAAAAUAUGAACAAGAAAUGAAUUAUUAUAAGCGUCUG